rnacentral:rRNA from 1 species
AGUGUAGGCGGUGCGAUAAGUUUGGUGUGAAAUCUCCCGGCUCAACUGGGAGGGUGCGCCGAAGACUGUCGUGCUCGAGUGUGGGAGAGGUAGGCGGAAUUCCUGGUGUAGCGGUGAAAUGCGUAGAUAUCAGGAGGAACACCUGCGGUGUAGACGGCUUACUGGACCACGACUGACGCUGAAACUCGAAAGUGUGGGGAGCAAACAGGAUUAGAUACCCUGGUAGUCCACACCCUAAACGAUGCAUACUUGGUGUGAGCGAUUCAUUUCGUUCGUGCCGGAGCUAACGCGUUAAGUAUGCCGCCUGGGGAGUACGGUCGCAAGGCUGAA